rnacentral:tRNA from 1 species
GCCUGGGUGGCUCAAUCUGUUGAGCAACUGACUUCAACUCAGAUCCUAUGAUCUCACGGUUCACAAGUUCGAGCCCUGCCUGGGGCU